GGAAACUGGAUAAACAAUGUUAAUUCUGUUAGUGCUUGGAGGCUGUGGACUCAUGUGGAUCUUGGGGUCAGGUCUGACACGAAGACAAUCAACCGAUCUCCACAGACCACUGUCGUACCUCUGAUGCGUGUCCCUGCUAAUUGUCCAAGAGAUUUCAACCUGUUGUCGUUUGAUCCAGACGGGGAUGAGGUCAGAUGCAGAUAUGCAGUACCAACGGACGAGUGUGUCACAUCAAGUGACCUUCCUAAUGACUUCACUCUACAAGAGAACUGCACCUUGUCAUUUUGGGGCAACAGUAGUACCACUGGAACAUAUGCAGUUCAGAUAGUGAUGGAGGAUUUCCCGACUCAGACCAUCUCUCUCUCCUAUACUGACGGAUCUCAAUCUAUCAGGACCUCAAACAACACACUCUGCAAACUACCUGUUCAGUUUGCAGUGAGAGUGGACCCCCCGGUGACAUCCUGUAUGGAGGGCUUGUACCUACCUAUGUUCCUGUCUCCAACGCCAGCCCAGGGUGCACUGCUCUACGCCUCUGCAGACCAACCCCUGGAAAUCACUGUCAGAGCACAGGCUACCCAGUCCACGGUUUCAGAGCUGUUGGUGAGUGGACCUUCCAGUAUCACAGAGAACACCACUGUCCCAGGAGAAUACCUUCUAAGGUGGACGCCCACUGAGGAUGAGGAGGGAGGGUACUAUCCUGUGUGCUUCAUCGCUCAGGGAGUGAACGACAGUUCCAUGUAUCACUCUGAGCUGCGCUGCCUGAUCGUCAGGGUUGGAAACACAAGUGCCAUCAGAACCACAGAGGAACCAACAACCUCCCCUCCUCCGGCAAUAAACCUCACAACAACAGAGGAACAAACAACCUCCCCU
ensembl:lncRNA